rnacentral:ncRNA from 1 species
AUAAUUGUUUUUCUAAAAUACAUGUUAAAUCAUAAGACCAUGUACAGGGAGCUGGUGCUCCUGUGCCGAAAGAUAAAAAAAAGGUUGGUGACAUGACAACAGGGGAAUCGGCGAUUAAAACCUCGGUGAAUGGCGGCCAUAAUUAUAACAGCCCUAAAAUAGUGAAAUUUCUUGUCGAAUAAGUUCUGAUUCUUAUAAAAGGCGUAAUAAU